CGUCAUCUUCAUCAUGCACCAUUGGAUCAAACCGACUUCACAACCGCCAUCUGAUCAAUGGUAGAGGCAAACUAACAUGUGCAACAUGUGGGCAAGGUCGGUGGGAGGCCAACCGACCCUGGAACCGCCAUGAAGUGGGGUCGCCCGACCCCAAUUCUAUGGGGUUAGGGUGUCAGCCCUGUCCUACAUGUCUUCCUCUUCAUGACUAUAAUGUUGUCUUGGUUACUGGUGUCACUGAUCUUUAGUUAUUCACCCCUUCUUAGUGUUUGGACCCUUGAAAAGUACCUGUUCUUACUCCUGCAACCAAAUAGUAGCAUGUACAUGUGGAACUAGGUUAUAUGUACCUAUAUUACUACUUU
rnacentral:lncRNA from 1 species